CACGUAGGCGGGUCUUUAAGUCAGGGGUGAAAUCCUGGAGCUCAACUCCAGAACUGCCUUUGAUACUGAGGAUCUCGAGUUCGGGAGAGGUGAGUGGAGCUGCGAGUGUAGAGGUGAAAUUCGUAGAUAUUCGCAAGAACACCAGUGGCGAAGGCGGCUCACUGGCCCGAUACUGACGCUGAGGUGCGAAAGCGUGGGAGCAAACA
rnacentral:rRNA from 1 species